GAUGAAGAACGUAGCGAAAUGCGAUAAGUAAUGUGAAUUGCAGAAUUCAGUGAAUCAUCGAAUCUUUGAACGCACCUUGCACCCUUUGGCAUUCCGAAGGGUAUGCUCGUUUGAGUGUCAUUGUACUCUCACUCUCCCGAUGCUUUGGGAUCGGGAGUGGUGGACUUGGGUGUUGCUGCUUUGCUGUGGCUCGCCUCAAAUGGAGUAGUGCAACUCUUGGUUGGACAUAGUACGGCGUGAUAAGUGUCUUCGCCGGCGCCUCAUUAUAGAGGGUGGCCGAUCGGGAGCUCUGUGCUUCAAACCGUCUUCGGACAACAUCUGACAACUUGACCUCAAAUCGAGUAGGACUACCCGCUGAACUUAAGCAUAUCAAUAAGCGGAGGA
rnacentral:misc_RNA from 1 species